rfam:Nicotiana attenuata strain TT chromosome 1, whole genome shotgun sequence.
UGGACAGAUUAUUGUAUUCGACUGUAUUCACGGCGUGAAACAGGGGAUUACACUGUUUUUAAAGAGAAAGUGAAUCAAUUAACAUAAUAGGCUCCU